rnacentral:tRNA from 1 species
UCCCCGGUGGCUCAGACGGUAAAGCGUCUGUCUACAAUGCAGCAGACCCAGGUUCGAGCCCUGGGUUGGGAA